UCACCUAUGGCUCACAUGCCACUCUAUGCCAUGGUAUGGCUAGGAGGGAGGAGAGCACCUCUAUUUAUAGGUGCUCAUGAUCAUUGUGGUGUUGCCAUGUGGUAAUUUCCACACUCUUUCAUAUAAAAUAUCCUAAGUGUAGAACCCUCCUCAUACUUAUCUAGUUUCUUAUAUUUCUACCACACUAAAAUAUCUAGUUCUAAAGUAUUCUACACUUCACUAUGAAGCAUGGCAACUAUGGCUCAUGCAUUCUCUCCAAUUUUCUGGAACCAUCUUACCUUACCAUGAUCUUAUAUGGCAAAGUUAGUCUCUUGAGAUCUCCACAAUCUUCUAGAAUGUUCCAAGUAUGCAUUACAUAUUUCAACACUCCCCCUCAAUGCAUACUUGUUUUGGGUGGUCGAACCAUUGCGUAUCGCUGCCCUUGGAUCUUCUGCGCUCUGCAAUAAUGAAUCUUCUUCUUCACUUGCCCUCGUGACAUGGUCUUCUCUUCCUUCAACUCAUAUGCCUCUAUCUUUAGUUGGAGGUUCCCUGCGGACUUGAUGCAUUCAUGCAUCUCUUCUUUCUCCUUCACCCUUCUAGUUGUUUGUCCUGUAGAUGCUUCUUUGUACAAAGGCAAAAUAACUUUAGCCGCUGAAGCAUUGUCAUACCUGAGAUCUUCGCAAUUGCGUUCUUUUGGAAUUUUCUUCGCCUUAUCAUGCUCCUCCAAAUCUUCAUGGAUCACCAAUGCUCGAUGUCUAUCUUUACCAUGCUCUUGUGGCUCCUCGUCAUCAUGAAGAUUAGGCUCUAUCUUCUCAUCUUUAAUAUCUUCCUCGUCGACACUUAGAGCCUUCCAAUCUUCAUCACUAUUAUAUCCAUAUACUACGAAUCC
rnacentral:lncRNA from 1 species